rnacentral:rRNA from 1 species
GACGAACGCUGGCGGCGUGCCUAAUACAUGCCAGUCGAGCGGACGAAUCGAAAGCUUGCUUUUGAUUCGUUAGCGGCGGACGGGUGAGUAACACGUGGGCAACCUGCCCUGUAGACGGGGAUAACACCGAGAAAUCGGUGCUAAUACCGGAUAACACGAAAUGUCGCAUGACGUUUCGUUGAAAGACGGCGCAAGCUGUCGCUACAGGAUGGGCCCGCGGCGCAUUAGCUAGUUGGUGAGGUAACGGCUCACCAAGGCGACGAUGCGUAGCCGACCUGAGAGGGUGAUCGGCCACACCGGGACUGAGACACGGCCCAGACUCCUACGGGAGGCAGCAGUAGGGAAUCUUCCGCAAUGGACGAAAGUCUGACGGAGCAACGUCGCGUGAGCGAAGAAGGCCUUCGGGUCGUAAAGCUCUGUUGUUAGGGAAGAACAAGUAACGCAGUAACUGGCGUUACCGUGACGGUACCUAACGAGAAAGCCACGGCUAACUACGUG